GACCUAAUGGCGAAACGGUAUCGCGUCCGCACUUCAUAUAUAACCAUCAUCCACGUUCCGCGGAAGUCCCCGGUUCGAACCCGGGUUAGGUCA